rnacentral:rRNA from 1 species
CAGGGAUUGCCUCAGUAACGGCGAGUGAAGCGGCAAAAGCUCAAAUUUGAAAUCCCCCCGGGGAGUUGUAAUUUGAAGAUUGCGUCUUGGAGGCGACCGUGUCUAUGUUCCUUGGAACAGGACGUCACAGAGGGUGAGAAUCCCGUGCGGCACGGCCCCCGGCUCCUUAUAAGGCGCUCUCGACGAGUCGAGUUGUUUGGGAAUGCAGCUCAAAGUGGGUGGUAAAUUCCAUCUAAAGCUAAAUACAGGCGAGAGACCGAUAGCGAACAAGUACAGUGAUGGAAAGAUGAAAAGCACUUUGAAAAGAGAGUGAAACAGCACGUGAAAUUGUUGAAAGGGAAGGGCAUGCCGUCAGAUUGUCAGUGUGGGUAAGAAGCGGGGUACAAAGACUGUGGAACGUGGCCCUCGGGUGUUAUAGCCGCAGUUCAUGCCCCGUCUCUUUCCGAGGCCUGCUUUGAGGACACCGACGUAAUGACGGUACGCCGC